rnacentral:rRNA from 1 species
GACGAACGCUGGCGGCGUGCUUAACACAUGCAAGUCGAACGGAAAGGCCCCUUUGGGGGUACUCGAGUGGCGAACGGGUGAGUAACACGUGAGUAACCUGCCCUUGACUUCGGGAUAACUACAGGAAACUGGGGCUAAUACCGGAUAGGAAUUCUUGCUGCAUGGUGGGGGUUGGAAAGCUUCGGCGGUUUUGGAUGGACUCGCGGCUUAUCAGCUUGUUGGUGGGGUAGUGGCUUACCAAGGCUUUGACGGGUAGCCGGCCUGAGAGGGCGACCGGCCACAAUGGGACUGAGAGACGGCCCAGACUCCUACGGGAGGCAGCAGUGGGGAAUAUUGCACAAUGGGCGGGAGCCUGAUGCAGCAACGCCGCGUGCGUGAUGACGGCCUUCGGGUUGUAAACCGCUUUCAGCAGGGGCGAAGCUUGUGGUGACGGUACCUUCAGAAGAAGCACCGGCUAACUACGUG